CUUCAUGUUCAGUGAUGUAAGGCAGUCAACUUGAAGAACAGGUGAAAGUGGUAAUUCUUACUGUCCUGGACAUACUUGUAGAUGUCUGAAAUGUAUGAAUAAUUGCUGGACUUAAUUGGCCAUCUCUAAAACUGGCAGUCCUGAAAAGGACAAGGUUCUGUGGAAGCAGAUGCCCAACUCCCACAACAGUGCAGGAGAGAGGAACCAUGGAGCAUUGAUUACUAAAUCACUGUUGAUGAUACAUGAUUCCACUACACUAACAACACACAUCAUUACAAAUAUUGCCUAGUGUCUAAUCUCACAAUAAACACACAAACUGCCUUCACCAGGGAACAUUCAACUGGUUGAAUGACUCUUGUGUGCACUGCUGGGGUAUUUUGGUGUGAUCUGAGCUGUGGUAGGAUGGCAGCAGAAUGGAGGACUUAGCCAGCCAGCAGCUGUCUCCUGCUUCUCACCUUUCACAGUCUAAUAUGCUAUCCUAGUGCUCCUAUUUCUUGUCUCCUCCUUGAUCUAGAUGUCAGCUUUCUCCAGACCACUGGAUUCAGUGCAGGAUUGGGGAGAGAGGAGUAUCAUUUAGGGAACAAAAAGGUGAUCUCUUUUGCCCUGAAAAAUCCCAGAUGCCAAAUCCCGUGAUUAUUUUACAGCUGAAUUCUAUUUGGUUGAUGAUACUUUCUUCCAGGUAGAGCUGCUAAUUUUUAUUUCUGUGUUGUAUCUUUAACAGUUUUGUGUGGUAAAUGCUUAGGAACUGGUCUCUUAAAAAAAAAAACCUCAAAAAUCCCCCAAAACAAUGAUUCUCACCGCCACAACAAAAAAAAAACCACCCUAAGCCCCAAAGAAUUUAACAGUGCAUCAAAUACAACUUCAGUCUGACAAUUUACAGUUCUAGGAGGCAUGAAUAUUUUUCUUCCUUUACAGCAAUUAAUUAACUUUAGAGGAAGGUUAAUUACAGGUAGUCAAGCUUCCCAUUAGCUAAACACUGACUUGCCCAGCUGCUGCCCCUAGCCAGGUGUGGGGUUGCUGCUCAGCACCUCUUGCUCUCACUGGCUCUCUUCUCCUCCCACUGCAAGGUGUGGAGCACAGGAAAGUGUACCAAAUGCUCUGUUCUCCUUGGCAGAGAGGGCAAAAAAAGCAGAGAUAACAGGUCCUAACCUGCAUUUCAUAUUCCAAAGCCUUUCUUCUUCAUGUAUCAGCGGACAGGGAAGAUGCCAUCCUCAUCCCACUGGACCAUGUCCAAAGGAACAUCUAGCAGAUCUGCUGCCUCUUUAGAGCAGCUUUGGAAGAUGGUGGGCGAUUCUCAAGAGGAUCUGUGAAAGAUGAUUGAGCAAUGUUAUAUAAUCAAAAAUAAGUUUAGGAAGUCUAAGCUAAUACUGACAGAACACAAAAGAGUAGCCUCAUGCAUAGGGACAGCCGUAAGGACUGGGCUGUCUGGUCCCAAGCAGAUGUCUCUGGAGAUGAGUUUUCAGAGGAUCCAGUUCUGGAGCUAAAAAUUACAAGAGGCUUCUUUCUCAUGUGGAUGCAGAUGAUGAAGGAACAAAGAGCUUCAGUUUGAGGAGAGGGUUGAGCCCCAUGUCUCAAUCCCUGCUUAUCCCACCCCACCCAUGAUGUCCCCAGUCCAGGGCUGGUGGGGAGGCUGCUCCUUGCUGAGCACCCCUGCAGUGUCUGCAAGCUGCACAUUGCAGAGCAGUUGGAAACGCAGGCUCAAAUACCAAGACAUUUAAAAAAUAUUACAGAAUCCACGUUUUAAUAUUCCCUUAAACUUCUACAGUUUAGCACAUCUUUGAUUGUACCACAGAGUUAAUUUAGGUCUUCAAAGGCAGAGAAACCUGAGAUCUUAACUGCAGAAAUCAGUCACUCGGGACAGUGGUUAUCCCUGGUUUAAUCAAGAAGCAGUUGUACAGCCCAGUCCAGAGGCUGACCAUACAGUCUAAACCUCCCACCAGUAGCACCCAAGUGGGUUUGGCUCACUCCCCACUAUUGACAACCCCCCAGCUCCCCACUGUCAAACAGAGGUCCCUGGGCUGCAGCUGUUCCCCAUCUUGAAAUCUGGGGGACUGCUGUGGGCAAAACCUGGGAGCUCCUCUACCUACCACCAGCCCUAGGAAGGACAGAACAGUCUCCCAUUUCGCUGCUGCCAAAAUAGUCUCCUGUUUCUCUGCUGCUAAAGCUGGGGGUUGAGGGUUGCUAAGCUUGAAGACCUCCUGCAGCUGAGCACUGACUGAUGCCAGCCAGGAGCACCUCUGGGAUUCCCCAUCCUUUGCCCUGCCAGUCCCAGGUAGAGAGGGAGAGAAAAGUGCUCAGUCAGAGAUUCAACAGUUCCAUCACCUGUUCUGGGGCAGCUUCCAAAUCCACCAGCCACACUGUGCUGCAAGCCCAGCUGCUCCAGUGGCUGUCUGAGCAGGUAGGAUUGGAAGUAACUGGUAUUGUGUUUGGGCUGUGGGGAGCAGAAGUAUUUGGGAAGCUUGAAUUGUGGCCAUCUUGUUUGAGUCCUUUGGAAAGAAGGUGCUACUUGUGCUCCAGAUCUUCUUUUUAAAUGACCAGAGGAGUCCAGAAUGAAUGAAUAAAAAAGUUAAUUUUUUCCUCAUGAGCGUCCCUGGUGCCCGUCUUUGACAGGGGAACACAGAGAAAGAGAAUCUAUGUAUGCUUCUGUCCCCUUCCAUCUGUGCUUAACCCCUGCCUUGCCACACCUCCAACCUUUUAUUUUAAGUUAGAGAAAGAUACUUCUGCAUUGCACCUGUGAGGAAGACUCGGUGGAGCCUUCACUCAAGGCACAGCCAUGCUGCAGCACAGCAGGGGCUGCAGACAAGCCUGCACAGAGAUCAGCCAGAAUGGGGGCUUGGACCCCACACCUGGGCACUUCCCAGGUGAAACAGCAGGUGAUGGUUUGGUACCUCUAUGUGUACCUUGAGAUGAGCAAGGUGCUGCUGCUUUCCAUGCCUGUGUGCAUCUCAGCUGUCUCCAAAAGCAGAAAAGCAGAGGUGCUCACUCAAACCCUGGUGUGGUAACACAACCAGCCCAAACACUGUUCAGACAGCACACCUGAAAUCCUGAGGGGAGAGACAAGAAGAGUGAAAUCAAGAGGCUGAUACCUGGCUAGAAUGUAUCAAAACCUCAAACUGAGAAAACUUUGAAUGAAAUCAUUUUACCUGAGCUCCCAAACUGCAAGAAACAACUUUUCUGGGAAAUAGUGGAUUUCCAGCUACUCACAGAGGAAAACUUCAUAGCCUGUUGGAACUGCACAACCAGGGAUGCAGAAGCAGCCUCUGCCUGCUUUUUUGUUUUUUUUCUUUGUGACUUUUGCAACUCUUCUUUGACUAAGAAUAUCAUUAAUCAAUUUAAUUCACUAAUAGGAGCAGGUAGCUGGACAAUUGCUAGACCUGUGAAGGAUAUGCCUGUUUUUUAAAUGAACAUCCCCAGUGGGCAGAUUACUUGCUUAUUUCUUCCUUCAGCAUCUUCAAAAUAUUUUUUCACAAGUGAACAUUUUACAGUUCUCAGUUUUUCCGAUUCCUGUUGUGGCCACUGUGUAGUGUCUGACUUUCAGGAGCAUUGUAAGCUGCCUGGGAAUGGAGAUAGUGAGCAAGAGAACUCUAAUGCAUUAGAGGGGUAAGUAAGCAAAUGUAGUGAGAAUUAAGUAGAUAGUAGGGCAGGGGUAUCCACAGUGGGGGAAGUGUGGAGGAACCAGCCAAAUGAAAACUAAAAUUUGGAGAAAAAUUAGCAACCCAAAACUUAUCUAAAAGCAAAACCUUUGUUUUCUAGCCAUGAACCUAUCCCUCUGCAAGGGAUGCUGAGCCCAAACUCCAUGGAGGAAUGAGUAGAAGAGCUGAUUGUUUUGCACUAACCUGCCUCAGAACACUGGUGUUCCAAAGCAGAAACGUAACUUUGAGGAGAUGGAGAGUUUUAACAUCAGCUUUGGAGCUGGGAAAGAAAGCCAAUGUCAGAGAAAGGUUUUGUUUGAUGAGACAGGCACCACAAAGAUCUGAAGGAGGCAGAUCUACAGACAGUGCCCCGGAGAAGACCCCUGCAGUAAGGCUGGAGAUGAGAAUUAGGUUAUUGACGGAGAUACAUGAACUGCCCUUACUCAUACAAGUCACCCAAAAAUUUUUAUUAUUGCUCCACUUUGGCACAAGGAGAAAAACAGUGACUUAUUUCCCCUACUGGGUAGUCAGAAACCCCCUGACAAUCCAAAGCAAUUGGGACUCCUCCUUCCUGGCAGGGGGAGACAGCAAAAGUGAGUGGGGGAGCAACUCCUUGUGUCACCAGGGGCAAGACCUCAGCUUUUGCUUGUCUCAAUAGGACCAAAGUGUGCUCCAGCCUGGAUCCAACCUCUCUGAUCUUUUAAAAUACAUCUUCAUCUUUUUUUCUUGGCCAGAACUUCAGGUAAUAGCUGUUUUUUAAGGAAAUUUUAAUGGCAGAUCCCUUUAUCUUGGAACAGGUGCAGAUUCUUAAAUUCCUGUGGCAACUGUUAGUCUGCUGAAACAGAGGUGAUAAAAUGAGAAAGCAAGAGGAAGAGCAGGAUGGGGAAGAGGAGGAUGCGAGCAGGAAUGUAUCCAUUCCACAAUUCCAUGUACACUCCAAGCAUUUAAGGUAACUUUUUUGGAUAGCCAUGUAUUCUUACAUUAAUAAAACCAUUUCCUAUGUUAUUUUUUUUUUUUGGCAGAAGGCUGAAGAAGUAGAAAACUGCCUCAGGAGUGUUCUAGCUGUUGAGUGCUGUGAAGGUGCCCUUGCAACCUCCACAAGUUUGGAAACACUUGUUGCUUGAAGGUGAUUUGAGUGCAGGAUUCACCCUUUAGUCCAUGCACUUUUACAGGAACAGGGGUUCCAGAGGUGUAACUGGGAUGUUUUAUGAACAAUUAUUAAGGUUUUUGAUGGACUGGAAAGCUAUGCUUAUCACAGGGACACUAUAAAAAGCUCUCCAGCUUCCAUAAGAGCUUGCUCUCUUUUGGGGCUUGGUCUGGAUGAUUUUUUCUGCAACAUCUGAUUUCUUACCCCUUCCCCACUUGUCCUGUGAAGUACACAGAGGAGAGAGCAUGGGGAAAACAUCCCUGGAAGCACAGCAGAAAGCUCAUGGUUCCUGCCCUGGUGGUUUUCCUGGGACAGACCUAGUCACCACCCUCCAACACCUGUGGUGUCACAGUGAUCCCUGUCUCACCCAGGAGCACCAUCUGGCUUCCACCCCCUGCCCUCCCAGCUUGUGCAGCCUCAGGGUGCCAAGGGAGGAGCUGUGUCUCCCACCAGCACCAGCUUGUGAGCCAGCCCAGCGUGUCGUCCUGAAGCUGCAGGUGGUAAAUUAUGGCUGUCUCUGGCAAAGUCUGUGUCCCAAAGAUGAAACUCAUUUCUUCUACAACUUCUUGAGGAAAAACUAAAUUGCAGCUGCUGCUUCUGUUGCAGCACACCACAUGGGGAAGCUUAGCAAAACCAAGGAAGGGGGUUGCCAUCAUCUCUGCUUGAGCUGAGAGCAGCUGUUGAUGUAUCCAGUUCUGAGCUCCAGCACCCACCUACCCCAUCGGGACUGGUGAAAUGGAUAUGGGGAGGUAAGCAGGGUCUGAGACCAGCAUCUCUGCUCAUCUCUCACUGAGCCUGGCUAGCGGCAGAGAGGAUUUCCACUUGAAUACCUACCCGGAUAGCUAAAGUCAUCCUCUGCAGCAUGUGGAAAUAUAAACCUUCCUUUUCCCGCCUGCUAAAGCCACCUGCUCUUGUCCCCUCCUGCUUUCUACUUUUAGCUCAUUAGUUCCACUGUGACUACACUCUGCUGUCUCACUGCCUUUUACUGAAGGCACGUCACAGGCAACUAAAUGUGUCUGAGCAGCUGUUUGACCCGCUUGCUGCUGAAAAUCAGCACGGACCAGUGUCGAGUCCCUAAUUAAUAACAGCUCCAGGGGAGAAGCAGCCCCAAAAACUCCGACAGCUCCAAACACUGCCAAGGUCUUUUUGCCACACACUCCUCUCUAAAAGUUGAUCCUUGUGGGUCCCUUCCAACUCAGGAUAUUCUAUGAUUCUCUGAGUCUAUGAUUUCGAACUUGUUUGGAGUAAGAAAGAUGAGCCUCCAUGGCUAUAAUGAUAAUUUUAUGAGUUAGCUUCUUAAAUAUCAUCACGACAACAGCUCAUUGAAACGUGCUGCCAGCUUACUUUCUUGGUGGUGAUAUCCAUGCAAAAACUUCCCAUAAUCUUCUACUAAUCAGGAGGAAUGUGAGUAGAACUCUGAGGAGGUACCCAGGAAUUUCCAAAAUUUCACUGGGUGCAUUGGAUCAGCCUUAAUCAGGAAAGGCUCUGCUUUGAUUCUCUCCCUUUGCUGGGAAGGUGGUCUUCCCCUCAAACAAGAUAAAGUGUUGUCUUAAUCAGCAUCACCUUUGUAAUCAAAGUACAGUUCCUCCUUGGCAAAGAGGGAAGAAGAAAACUGUCGUGUGUAAGAGAGAGAUAGGAAGGAUUUGCCAGUCAUUUGGGUGUGAGGCAAAAGCUAAAUGGCAUUUGUGAGCUUCAGCAACAGGAAUAAUGAAUGCAGCAGAAGUGAAGAGAGAAAGGAGGUGUAAGGAAGGAAUUUCCUGUUGCUUUGCUAAACCUCACUGGAAUGUGGGCAAGGAGAGGGGAAAACAAGGUACAAGGCUGAGGACAGAAGCACAAACCGGAAAAUUCAGAAAUUGCUCAGGAAGUUAC